rnacentral:rRNA from 1 species
GACGAACGCUGGCGGCGUGCCUAACACAUGCAAGUCGAACGGAACUGUUUUGAAAGAUUUCUUCGGAAUGAAUUUGAUUUAGUUUAGUGGCGGACGGGUGAGUAACGCGUGAGUAACCUGCCUUCAAGAGGGGGAUAACAUUCUGAAAAGAAUGCUAAUACCGCAUGACAUAUCGGAAUCACAUGAUUUUGAUAUCAAAGAUUUUAUCGCUUGAAGAUGGACUCGCGUCCGAUUAGUUAGUUGGUGAGGUAACGGCUCACCAAGACCGCGAUCGGUAGCCGGACUGAGAGGUUGAACGGCCACAUUGGGACUGAGACACGGCCCAGACUCCUACGGGAGGCAGCAGUGGGGGAUAUUGCGCAAUGGGGGCAACCCUGACGCAGCAACGCCGCGUGAAGGAUGAAGGUUUUCGGAUUGUAAACUUCUUUUAUUAAGGACGAAAAAUGACGGUACUUAAUGAAUAAGCU